rnacentral:lncRNA from 1 species
AUGAGGAGAGCACAGCAACAGCCCCAGUUACAAACCCCGGGCAGAGCUCUCAGGGCUCUGUUUCCGCUUUUCUGUUGGGAUCUCUAUGGCCAGGAAUUCCCCAGUUCUCACUUUUUCACUGGGAUUGCCAUGGCCAUUGACUCCUCAGUUUUCACUUUUUCAUCGGAUCUUUGUGUUCACAAAGUCCUGAAUUUUUUCAUCAAGAUCUCUAUGGUCACAAAUUCCUCAAUUUUCACUUUUUCAUCGAGAUCUCUAUGGUCACAAAUUCCUGAUUUUUCACUUUUUCUUUGGGAUCUUUAUGGUCACAGAUUCCUCAAUUAUCACUUUUUCAUGAGGAUCUCCAUGACCACAGAUUCCUCAAUUUUCACUUUUCCACAGGGAUUUCUAUGCUCACAGAUUCCCCAGUUGUCACUUUUCCAUGGGCAUCUCUGUGCUCACAGAUUUCUCCAUUUUCACUUUUCCAUGGGGAUCUCUGUGGCCAUGAAUUCCUCAAUUUUCACUUUUCCACAGGGAUUUCUAUGCUCAGAUUCCUCAGCUGUCACUUUUCCAUGGGGAUCUCUGUGCUCACAGAUCUCUCCAUUUUCACUUUUCCAUGGGGAUCUCUGUGGCCAUGAAUUCCUCAAUUUUCACUUUUCCAUGGGGAUCUCUGUGCUCACAGAUUUCUCCAUUUUCACUUUUUCAUUAGGAUUUCUAUGGUCACAGAUUCCUCAGUUCUCACUUUUCCGUGGGGAUCUCUAUGCUCACAGAUCUCUCCAUUUUCACUUUUCCACGGGGAUCUCUGUGCUCACAAACUUUUCCAUUUCUCACUUUUUCAGGGGGAUCUCUAUGGUCAUGAAGUCCUCAGCCAGCGUCACCUCCCGGCCCAGCACGGCCUCCGCCUGCCUCUUGAGCUCGGUGACGUCGCUGCCCGGCUCCGCGGGCUGCCCGGCGGGCCGGUACCGCUGGCUGAAGUGGGUCAGCACCAGCCUCUUGGCCUGGCACCUCGUGGCCAGCUCGGCGGCCGCGCGCGGCGUGCUGUGCCCGUGCUGCCGCGCCCGCUCCUGCUGCGCGUCGCCCAGCGUGGCCUCGUGCACCAGCACGUCCGCGCCCCGGCACAGCCGCUCGGCCGCGGCCCCCAGCGCCCCCGAGCAGUCCCCCAGCACGCAGACCUUCCUGCCGGGAGCGGGAGCCGCCAGCACGUCCCCGGGAAGAACCGUGGUUCCGUUCUCCAGCACGACGGCGGUGCCGCUCUUGAGCUUCCCGUAG